UGGGGAAUAUUGCACAAUGGGCGCAAGCCUGAUGCAGCGACGCCGCGUGGGGGAUGACGGCCUUCGGGUUGUAAACCUCUUUCACCAGGGACGAAGCGCAAGUGACGGUACCUGGAGAAGAAGCACCGGCCAACUACGUGC
rnacentral:rRNA from 1 species